AUUGAACGCUGGCAGCAGGCCUAACACAUGCAAGUCGAACGGUAACAGAAAGCAGCUUGCUGCUUUGCUGACGAGUGGCGGACGGGUGAGUAAUGUCUGGGAAACUGCCUGAUGGAGGGGGAUAACUACUGGAAACGGUAGCUAAUACCGCAUAACGUCGCAAGACCAAAGAGGGGGACCUUCGGGCCUCUUGCCAUCGGAUGUGCCCAGAUGGGAUUAGCUAGUAGGUGGGGUAACGGCUCACCUAGGCGACGAUCCCUAGCUGGUCUGAGAGGAUGACCAGCCACACUGGAACUGAGACACGGUCCAGACUCCUACGGGAGGCAGCAGUGGGGAAUAUUGCACAAUGGGCGCAAGCCUGAUGCAGCCAUGCCGCGUGUAUGAAGAAGGCCUUCGGGUUGUAAAGUACUUUCAGCGGGGAGGAAGGGAGUAAAGUUAAUACCUUUGCUCAUUGACGUUACCCGCAGAAGAAGCACCGGCUAACUCCGUG
rnacentral:rRNA from 1 species